UGAGGAAUAUUGGUCAAUGGGCGAGAGCCUGAACCAGCCAAGUAGCGUGCAGGAAGACGGCCCUAUGGGUUGUAAACUGCUUUUAUAGGGGAAUAAAGUGAGCCACGUGUGGUUUUUGCAUGUACCCUAUGAAUAAGGACCGGCUAAUUCCGUGCCAGCAGCCGCGGUAAUACGGAAGGUCCGGGCGUUAUCCGGAUUUAUUGGGUUUAAAGGGAGCGUAGGCCGGAGAUUAAGCGUGUUGUGAAAUGUAGACGCUCAACGUCUGCACUGCAGCGCGAACUGGUUUCCUUGAGUACGCAUAAAGUGGGCGGAAUUCGUGGUGUAGCGGUGAAAUGCUUAGAUAUCACGAAGAACUCCGAUUG
rnacentral:rRNA from 1 species